AUUUAUAUUUGCUAUUAGUGGGUCUCCAAAUACAUUAGAGAAAUGAUAUUGAUAGGAAUAGGUGUACAGCUUUUAUAUAUAUAUAUAUAUAUAUAUAUAUAUAUAUAUAUAUNGAUAUUGAUAGGAGUAGGUGUACAGCUUAUAUAUAUAUAUAUAUAUAUAUUUUAAGAAAUAGAUAGCACGCUAUCCGCUUCAUACAGCUUAUAUAUAUAUUAGAGAAAUGAUAUUUGCUUUUUAUUUGUCUUAUCAAUCUUUUAAUUUUUUACUAAAAUUUAAUUUAAAUUUUUGUGAAUUUCAAGAUGGAAGAGUUAAAAGAUCUAUACGUAUAAAUAGAUGUAUAUAUAAUAUUUCUCAAUGUAUUAUUUUUACAAUGAAACUAGCUUAGUUCCUAAUGAUACUACUUGCCGUACAUUUGUGCUUGAAAACAACAACUCAAAAGCGUUACUGUGGAAAAACAACUCAAAAUUUUACAGCUUAGUUGCCACGUCGUGCUUAGAAAGACACUACACUUGGUAUAAUGUAGAUCUUUGUGGACGCAUCAAAUCAAAUACACGCAAUAUAAUUUUGGAAGUUACUUUAUUGAUGAUGCGAUUAGUUUUUUAGCUAUGAAUAUUAUUAGUUUACUUUUCCUGAGUCAAUUCAGAAUCAGAUAAGGCUCGAUCCAGCCGACCCAAAGGUAAGUUGUUUUUUAAUUUUGGCAACGAUAAAAUGUUCAUAAAGUUUACUAUAGUUUUAAAAUUGUAGAUGAUAUAGCAUGCAAUUGUGGUGAUGUUCUAUUAAUGUUGAACGCAUUUCUUUCUACGUCAAUUUACAGCCUCUACAGAUUUAGUUAACAUAUUUUAUAUAAUUUUUACAACUAUAAAUUAAUUAAAAUAAAAUUUAAAUUUAAAGUAUCGUUUACGGACUCAGAACAAACAGAUUGAGAGUAGUUGAUUCAAAAAUUGUUUACAGUAUAUAUAAGUUUGCAUAUUUUUUUUUAUUUGAAAAUAAAAGAAUAUUUAAAUUAUCGGGUAAACUUCAAAUACCACCUUUGUGAUUUCGCAUUUUCUCACUUUAGUAUCCUGCAGUUUAAAGCGCAUCAAUUUAAUACCCCAUGGUUUUAUAUCUUUUCUUUUCGUCGGUUUCUUUGUUAAUAUUUUGUUAAAUUAUAUACAAAAAACUUCAGAAACCCUACCUAAGUUUAUCGAAUAUUCACUUUAGUAUCUUUUAGUUUUAACUUUUUUAUUGAUUUAACAAAAAGAAAAUGGAGAGAACAAUAAAAAAUAAAAAAAAAUCACAGGUUACUAAAUUGAUACGCUUUAAACCACAUAAUACAAAAAUAAAAAAGUGUAAAACUAUAUGUGUGUUAUUUGAAGUUUUUUCUAAAUCAUUUGAAUAUAAUAAAGUCUAUCAAUAUGGCCUAGAAGGUAAGAUUACUUUUAUACCCUCCCACUAAAUCCUUAAUCAAAAGCAUAUUCCCCGUAUUCCCACUCCUUGUGCUCAAAAAAGAAAACCAUCAAAGCCCAUAAGAUGCUACAAAAUUAAUUCUUCAUUACCAUUAAACCCCUUUAAAUUAAUUAAUAAUUAAUUCCUCAGUUGUACACUUGUACUCAACCUUAUCCAAGUUUAAGCAUCACCGCCCCAUCCCCUCCCCCCCCUAUAUAUUCUCCCACUCCAUUAAACUCAUUAAUCCAAAAAAAAAAAAAAAAUUCCCUAUAGAGGUCUCUAAUGGCGGAUAUAGCGCUCUUGGUGGCGGAGGAGUUCGAGAGGAGGAGGAAUCGGAUGGAGAAGGGAUAUGGCAAGGAGGCGGCGGAGUUCAAUUGCGCGGUGGCGUCGUCUUCGUCGUCUCUCCUCUCUAGAGCUGCGGAGGAGCUCUCUUCGUUGAGGGAGGUAGGGGUUAAGGAAAUGGAGGAGCUUCUGAGGAGGGCGAUGAUGGAGCCCAAAACCACUCUCGGGGUUGCUGCUUUCGAUGGCUUCUUCUCGGCUUGAUCGAUCGAUGCUUCUUCGGUCGUCGAUUUCCGCCUCUUGUUUGGAAUUGCGUUGCCAAAAUUAUAUAUCCGCUUUCUUUUUAUUUUGUAAAUUUCGAGAACGCUUUCGAUCUUUCCUAAUCCUAAUUAACGCGAAAAGAUGCGUUUAGACAUUGCAGUUCCAAAUUGUAAUUUAAUUUUUUUUUCUUUUUUUUUUUUCUUUCCCCCCCCCUUUUUGUUAAGAUGCUUGUACAGAAUCUGUUAAUCAGUUGAUGAGAUAAUGUUGCAGCUUAUCUGUUACUUAGUCUUGUUUUCAUGAUGAUAAACAUAAACAUAGGUUUUUUUUAAAAAAUUAUUUGUGUGGUGAUGAUUGCUAAUUUGUCAGUAAGUACAAUAUUAUUAUCUUACAGCAAAAAAAAUUAGUUUCUGAACAUAAACUUAGCCUUAUGCAAUUAAAAUUAAAAUUUUUGGCACCAGGAGUUCUAAUUGUUUGAUCAAAAGAUGGAAUUCAUCUAAUUAUAUGUGUGGCUUUGCUCUUUUCAUAAAGAUGGAUCUAAUAAUUAAAUGAUGGAUAUAUUAUAUUUUAAAAUUGAAAAUUAAUUAGUUUAUAAUUCUAACUUAGCAAGUCAAAAGGGCAAAAAAAAAAUCUUGGUUUAGGUUUUAGAGUCCCUUUCGAAACUACUUGAAACAAUUUUUUUUUUUUUUUUUUUUUUUUUU
rnacentral:lncRNA from 1 species